CGGGGCGUAGCUCAGUCUGGUAGAGCGUUCGGCUGGGGGCCGAAAGGUCGCAUGUUCAAAUCAUGUCGCCCCGA
rnacentral:tRNA from 1 species